UACGUAGGGUGCGAGCGUUGUCCGGAAUUAUUGGGCGUAAAGGGCUCGUAGGCGGUCUGUCGCGUCGGGAGUGAAAACUCAGGGCUUAACCCUGAGCCUGCUUCCGAUAUGGGCAGACUAGAGGUAUGCAGGGGAGAACGGAAUUCCUGGUGUAGCGGUGAAAUGCGCAGAUAUCAGGAGGAACACCGGUGGCGAAGGCGGUUCUCUGGGCAUUACCUGACGCUGAGGAGCGAAAGUGUGGGGAGCGAACAGG
rnacentral:rRNA from 1 species